GACGAACGCUGGCGGCGUGCUUAACACAUGCAAGUCGAACGAAGUGGCGAACGGGUGAGUAACGCGUAAUCAACCUGCCCUUCAGAGGGGGACAACAGUUGGAAACGACUGCUAAUACCGCAUACUGAAGGAGGGGAUUGCGGCUGAUUAGCUAGUAGGUAAGGUAAUGGCUUACCUAGGCGACGAUCCCUAGCUGGGCUGGGAGGAUGAUCAGCCACACUGGGACUGAGACACGGCCCAGACUCCUACGGGAGGCAGCAGUGGGGAAUCUUCCGCAAUGGACGAAAGUCUGACGAAGCAACGCCGCGUGAGUGAUGACGGCCUUCGGGUUGUAAAGCUCUGUUAAGCGGGACGCGGUACCGGAAUAGAAAGCCACGGCUAACUACGUGCCAGCAGCCGCGGUAAUAC
rnacentral:rRNA from 1 species